GACAGAGGGGGCAAGCGUUGCUCGGAAUUACUGGGCGUAAAGGGCGCGUAGGCGGGAUGGCAAGUCGGUCGUGAAAUCCCUCGGCUCAACCGAGGAACGUCGAUCGAUACUGCUGUUCUUGAGGAUUGCAGAGGAGACUGGAAUUCCCGGUGUAGCGGUGAAAUGUGUAGAGAUCGGGAGGAACACCGGUGGCGAAGGCGGGGUCUCUGGGCAAUUCCUGACGCGAGGCGCGAAAGCGUGGGGAGCAAACGGG
rnacentral:rRNA from 1 species